rnacentral:rRNA from 1 species
UACGGGGGGAGCAAGCGGUUGUUCGGAUUUACUGGGCGUAAAGGGUCGCGGUAGGCGGCCACCGCAAGUCGACUGUGAAAUCUCCGGGCUUAACCCGGAAAGGUCAGCCGACGUACUGCGGGCUAGAGUGCAGGAAGGGGCAACUGGAAUUCUCGGUGUAGCGGUGAAAUGCGUAGAUAUCGAGAGGAACACCUGCGGCGAAGGCGGGUUGCUGGGCUGACACUGACGCUGAGGCGCGAAAGCUAGGGGAGCGAACGGG